rnacentral:tRNA from 1 species
GGGCUGUAGCUCAGCUGGGAGAGCGCGUCGUUCGCAAUGACGAGGUCAGGGGUUCGAUCCCCCUCAGCUCCACCA